rnacentral:rRNA from 1 species
UACGGGGGGGGCAAGCGUUGUUCGGAAUUACUGGGCGUAAAGGGCUCGUAGGCGGCCAACUAAGUCAGACGUGAAAUCCCCAGGCUCAACCUGGGGACUGCGUCUGAUACUGGAUGGCUUGAAUCCGGGAGAGGGAUGCAGAAUUCCAGGUGUAGCGGUGAAAUGCGUAGAUAUCUGGAGGAAUACCGGUGGCGAAGGCGGCAUCCUGGACCGGCAUUGACGCUGAGGCGCGAAAGCUAGGGGAGCAAACGGG